GCAAUCUAAACAAAGGCAUCCCGACUCCCGAGCAGCAGAGGUUCACACGAGGUACAGCUCACCUGAUUUUACAGAUCAGGUUAAUCUCGAGGAGAGGAAUCUAGUACAACUUUUAUCGAUUUACAUUUUUCAAUCAUAUGGACCGAACUCAAGGGAGAAUGAUUUUUCUAGGCAAUUGAUGAGAGUCGAGACCUGCUCCGUCUCCAUGGUGAUGGUGGUCGUGAUCGUGGAAGAUAAGCGUCAAGAUUCCUACCAAACAUAGAACAGAGCCCACGAGAAGUUUGUCAUACCGUUCCACCCAAUGGAACUUGAUCUGACUCGCGCCGUAGAAGGACAGUGCCACCAGUGAGGUCAUUACGGUA
rnacentral:lncRNA from 1 species